rnacentral:rRNA from 1 species
AACGUAGGAGACAAACGUUAUCCGGAGUUACUGGGCGUAAAGGGCGUGCAGGCGGUCGACUAAGUCUGGCGUGAAAGCUCUCGGCUAAACCGGGAGAGGUCGUUGGAUACUGGUUGACUAGAGGACGGUAGAGGCGUGUGGAAUUCCGGGUGUAGUGGUGAAAUGCGUAGAGAUCCGGAGGAACACCAGUGGCGAAGGCGACGCGCUGGGCCGUACCUGACGCUGAUACGCGAAAGCAUGGGGAGCGAACGGG